rnacentral:rRNA from 1 species
AUUGAACGCUAGCGGGAUGCCUUACACAUGCAAGUCGAACGCAGUGGGGACGGGUGAGUAACACGUGGGUAACCUCCCAUCAGAGGGGAUAACACUUGGAAACAGGUGCUAAACCGAUACUGAUGGAUGGACCCGCGGUGCAUUAGCUAGUUGGUGAGGUAACGGCGCACCAAGGCCACGAGGCAUAGCGGACCUGAGAGGGUGAGCGGCCACACUGGGACUGAGACACGGCACAGACUCCUACGGAAGGUAGCAGUAGUGAAUAUUCUGCAAUGGACGAAAGUCUGAUCGAGCAGCGCCGAGUGAGUGAAGAAGGUUUUCGGAUCGUAAAACUCUGUUGUUAGAGAAGCGUUAUCUAACCAGAAAGCCACGGCUAGCUCCGUGCCAGCAGCCGCGGUAAUAC